AAAUUCAUCUCCGACUUUCAGCUGUCUCGGCCACUUUCAGCUUAAAAUAAAUAUAAUUCAACUUCUGAUUAUUCUGUGUCAGAUCACACUCUGUCCUUUUAAUUUUACUUUCUUAUUUUCCGUUUGCAACACGUAGGGAUUUCUUUUCUCCCCCCCCCUCCCAACUUCUCCGUCCCCAUUCCUCCCUCUGAGCCAACAUAGCAGAUGUUUCUGAAUGUGUUCUGCCGAGUUGAUUGGAUUAGAAAUAAUGACAAGGCUCUGGCAGCAGGUAAAAUGCCUUCCAGGUAAAAUGCCUUGCAGGUAAAAUGUCUUCGAGGCGGUGCUUGGUGGGCAGAGGCCCCAGGCGGUCGCAUGAAUUGGUUGUGUUUUUUCUUCCUUCCUGCUCUGUUUUAAAGCUACCACUUGCAGUAAGAAAAGCACCGCUUUUAUUUUGGCAUCCUCGUUGCCCCACAUCCCCAAUUUGGCAGUGGAGUGUUCUGGGGAGUUAAGUAAAG